CACGAUACCUCAGGAGCAUCAGGC
rnacentral:misc_RNA from 1 species